ensembl:lncRNA
UUGGGCUUAAAAAAAUCUCCACUGCAGGAUUUGGGAUAACCCAACAGGAAUUGGGAUAAUUCCAANUCAAUUCGGUGAAGGAAGGGAGAGCGCAUGGAUUCAACUCCCAGCUCCUGACAGGAAAAGUUUGGCCGAAUGAAGUCCCCAGGUGCCACCACCACCCUUGGGUUCCUUCCCUACACCCAAAGGUGGUGCCUGCACAAAAGCAGCUCCAAAAAAAAGGAAAAUUCACCUCAGGAUGAGGAACUCAACGAGGUUUUAUGUCCCAGAGGCAUGUGGGAGUGAAGGAAAAUGCUCAAAUUCCUGAUUUUCCUCUGUAAAAACCCCCCUGACCACACACACACCUGUAACAAUCACACACACAAAGCCAAGACCAUCCAAUAUUUGGAAUUAACCACCUGGGAGCUCUUCCUCAAAGGAAAAAUCCCAUCCCCACAGCAAAUUCCUCCUCCCGUGGUCAAACCCCCCUCAGAUCACCCCUUUUGUACCCCCAGAGUGGGCACUGCUGCCACACCCAGUGAUUAUUUCCCAUAUCAGAUAAAAAUGGAGCCUGGAAUUCAAAAUUUUGGGAAGAAACAAUCCCAGAUCCCCAGGAAAACCAAGGCCCCAGAGGAAAGUUUGUCACCCCCAAUGCUGAGGCCCAAACCCAGCUCGUGUCUCAUUAGUGGAGAUUCAUUAACACCUAAAACACGAACAGAUAAAGCAGAGAACAGGGAAGAUAAAGCUGAGGGAAGAUAUCUCCAUAUCCCGGGAGUUGGGGAAUUUCUCUUUUAAAGAAAGUGAAAGAAAAGGAGGAGAUGGAUGAGAUGCUCAUUUACAGAAAUUUUUGUUCUCUAGCUUUUGUUUUGAGCACACACACACACAAAUAGAGCAGACCAAAGGUUACAAAAUGGAUUUGUCAUGCUGAGAAUUUGCUGUGUUCACCUUCCCAAAGUUUCACCUGGGCUGGGCCAUUCCCAAAUCAACCCUUCAAGAUUACUAGAAAAAAAUUGCGAUGAACUGCUCAAUGUCUGUCACAGAAACUCAGGAAUUCUCUCCCCCAACCAUGGGAUUGGUUUUCCAUCCCCUUCAUUCUCCUGAUUUUUUCAAUUUCUUCCUCCUCAUGAAUUCAAUGACAGCCAGCUCUGAUUGUUCAGUUUGCCACUGUUAAAAUCCUCUUCAGUUUUAUUUCUCUUAAUAAGAAAACUUCACUGACAGAUUCCCAAGGGACAACUUCUCACUGAAUUUCAGAACUACAAAACAAAGCAGCAUCUAAAAAAUAACCCUUUGACAAAGCCCCAGCAUUUCUCAGCAUGAGGAAUUCAGUGAAAGGAGGUGAUGGGAAGGACUGCAGCAGGAAUUAGAUGGUUUAAAGGGUUAAUCUGAGUGGUCACACCAGGGUAAUUCCAUGCAAACUUCUGGGAAAGAUCCCAAAAAUCAGACCUGAGAGCUUGGAGCUGAUUUAGAGGUGCAGGGCUCACCCCAACGAGGUCCUGCUGCAUUUCCAACCCCCAAAGUUCCUUCAGCACCCAAAAAAUUAAGGAUGAAGGGAUUCCAGAACCUCAGUGACACCAACCCAGACACUGAAUGCCCCCAAACUGAGCAACACCAAGAGUGGAAAGGUCACAGCCAGGUCCUGACGCUGGGAAAAUCCAAUCCCAGCUGGGAAUGGAGAGCUCCAAACCCCAAUUUAUUUCCCAGCUGGGAAUGUUCCUCCAGGAGAGCUCCAAACCCCAAUUUAUUUCCCAGCUGGGAAUGUUCCAGAACAGCUCAGAAGAUGAAGCUUCACAAGCAC